ensembl:lncRNA
CCCAUUGCUGUCUGUGUGCACAGCAAUAUCCUCCAGUGCAGGGCUGAUCUUUGGUCUGUGCUUGAAACAAACACCAUAGUGAGGGGAACUGUAGAUGGGAGAACAGCAGAGUGUGAAGUGUGAGACCCGCUGUGCAAAUGGGAUUUGUCACUAUGAGCACUGUGAUGAAAGCACCCUGGAGAAACUGACUCUUGAGAAAUGGUUUUUGCAUGUCCAAGUGGGAAAGGGACAGGUGGGAUGGCAAAUGGGAGCCCAAGGGAAGGGGGUCCCCUUGGAAAAGGGGUGCCCAGCACUCACACUGGACUUCUCCGUAGUCAGUGGCUUGCACCUGCUGGCUGGGAACGUGCUGCUGCCUGUGGAUUAAGGGAAAAUGGAUUUGGGGUGGAUGUUUGCUGCAGGGGGCCAGGACUGUUAUUCAUUUGGAUGAAGCCUCCUUGCAUCAGGCACUGCAUUCACUCCAACCCCACGGCAAUCCCUCAUCCUCCAGGCAUCCACGUGCUAUCAGUAAUGUUACCGUGAGGAAAUCCUUCCUUCUCCAACACCAUGGCAGUCCCUUCCUCUUAUGGGGGAACUCACAGAUAAUGC